CCUACGGGAGGCAGCAGUAGGGAAUCUUCCACAAUGGGCGAAAGCCUGAUGGAGCAACGCCGCGUGGGUGAAGUAGGUCUUCGGAUCGUAAAACCCUGUUGUUAGAGAAGAAAGUGCGUGAGAGUAACUGUUCACGUUUCGACGGUAUCUAACCAGAAAGCCACGGCUAACUACGUGCCAGCAGCCGCGGUAAUACGUAGGUGGCAAGCGUUAUCCGGAUUUAUUGGGCGUAAAGGGAACGCAGGCGGUCUUUUAAGUUGGAUGUGAAAGCCUUCGGCUUAACCGGAGUAGUGCAUUGGAAACUGGGAGACGUGAGUGCAGAAGAGGAGAGUGGAACUCCAUGUGUAGCGGUGAAAUGCGUAGAUAGAUGGAAGAACACCAGUGGCGAAAGCGGCUCUCUGGUCUGUAACUGACGCUGAGGUUCGAAAGCGUGGGUAGCAAACAGGAUUAGAUACCCGAGUAGUC
rnacentral:rRNA from 1 species